rnacentral:rRNA from 2 species
UAAGACUGGGAUAACUCCGGGAAACCGGGGCUAAUACCGGAUGGUUGUUUGAACCGCAUGGUUCAAACAUAAAAGGUGGCUUCGGCUACCACUUACAGAUGGACCCGCGGCGCAUUAGCUAGUUGGUGAGGUAAGGCUCACCAAGGCAACGAUGCGUAGCCGACCUGAGAGGGUGAUCGGCCACACUGGGACUGAGACACGGCCCAGACUCCUACGGGAGGCAGCAGUAGGGAAUCUUCCGCAAUGGACGAAAGUCUGACGGAGCAACGCCGCGUGAGUGAUGAAGGUUUUCGGAUCGUAAAGCUCUGUUGUUAGGGAAGAACAAGUACCGUUCGAAUAGGGCGGUACCUUGACGGUACCUAACCAGAAAGCCACGGCUAACUACGUGCCAGCAGCCGCGGUAAUACGUAGGUGGCAAGCGUUGUCCGGAAUUAUUGGGCGUAAAGGGCUCGCAGGCGGUUUCUUAAGUCUGAUGUGAAAGCCCCCGGCUCAACCGGGGAGGGUCAUUGGAAACUGGGGAACUUGAGUGCAGAAGAGGAGAGUGGAAUUCCACGUGUAGCGGUGAAAUGCGUAGAGAUGUGGAGGAACACCAGUGGCGAAGGCGACUCUCUGGUCUGUAA